rnacentral:rRNA from 1 species
UACAGAGGGGGCAAGCGAUGGUCGGAAUUACUGGGCGUAAAGGGCGCGUAGGCGGUCCGAAAAGUCCCGCGGGAAAUCCCCCGGCUCAACUGGGGAACUGCGCGGGAAACUGCCGGGCUGGAGUUCGGGAGAGGGAAGCGGAAUUCCGGGUGUAGCGGUGAAAUGCGUAGAUAUCCGGAGGAACACCGGUGGCGAAGGCGGCUUCCUGGACCGACACUGACGCUGAGGCACGAAAGCUAGGGGCGCGAACGGG